UUUCUGAGAUUAGCAAACAACUCUCCUCUCCUCCCUCCUAAACCACCCCCUUCCCGCUCACCCCCACCUCCCCAUGCUAAGCUGUGGAGAAGGAGGAAGUGUCGAGUGGGCAUCCAAAGUCAACAGGGCGCAGUAAGAAGCAUUUAUACUGAGUGACCUGGGAUACAUAGACACUCUUAUGGGCCCUUGACAUCUUGUGCUCCAUUUCUCCAAAUGCCAGCAGGAGUCUCAAGGAGAGAAACACGCAACCUCAUGAAACUCUAUGCAGGAAAAUACCCAACCAGAAAACAAGGUUAUUGUCAGGUCCAGAGGAAACCCCACUUCCCCUAAUUCCAAAAGGCAGUACCCAGAAAUGACCGUCUUGACUCAGCUCUGCUGAAGUAUAGGAUUACUGAAGGACACUGCCAGCGUUCCUUAGGAACCCAAGAAAGAGUUUCUGUCUACCAGGAAGAGGGCCAGAAACGGAUCUCCUGCA
rnacentral:lncRNA from 1 species